AAGGCUUGAGCCACCACGAGUUGUGGCCAUUGUUGUGACAAUAUUGACAGACUGAGAGCUCUUUCUUGAUUUUAUAGGUGGUGGUGCAUGGCCGUUCUUAGUUGGUGGAGCGAUUUGUCUGGUUAAUUCCGUUAACGAACGAGACCUCAAUCUGCUAACUAGCUAUGUGAAGGUAUCCCUCCAUGGCCAACUUCUUAGAGGGACUAUGGCCUUUUAGGCCACGGAAGUUUGAGCCAAUAACAGGUCUGUGAUGCCCUUAGAUGUUCUGGGUCGUACGCGUGCUACACUGAUGUAUUCAACGAGUAUAUAUCAUUGGCCGACAGGCCCGGGAAUUUUUUGAAAUUUCAUCGUGAUGGAGAUAAAUCAUUGCAAUUGUUGGUCUUAAACGAG
rnacentral:lncRNA from 1 species